ACAAUACUCCCUCUGUCCCAAAAUUCUUUUGUUAGAUUUAUUUAGAUACGGAUGUAUACUAAAACGUGAAUAGAUACAUCCAUAUGUAGACAAAUCUAAAACAAGAAUUUUGGGACGGAGUGAGUACUUC
rfam:Triticum aestivum genome assembly, contig: Triticum_aestivum_CS42_TGACv1_scaffold_515036_6BS